GACGAACGCUGGCGGCGUGCCUAAUACAUGCAAGUAGAACGCUGAAGGAGGAGCUUGCUUCUCCGGAUGAGUUGCGAACGGGUGAGUAACGCGUAGGUAACCUGCCUGGUAGCGGGGGAUAACUAUUGGAAACGAUAGCUAAUACCGCAUAACAGUAGAUAUCGCACGAUAUCUGCUUGAAAGGUGCAAUUGCAUCACUACCAGAUGGACCUGCGUUGUAUUAGCUAGUUGGUGAGGUAACGGCUCACCAAGGCGACGAUACAUAGCCGACCUGAGAGGGUGAUCGGCCACACUGGGACUGAGACACGGCCCAGACUCCUACGGGAGGCAGCAGUAGGGAAUCUUCGGCAAUGGACGGAAGUCUGACCGAGCAACGCCGCGUGAGUGAAGAAGGGUUUCGGAUCGUAAAGCUCUGUUGUAAGAGAAGAACGAGUGUGAGAGUGGAAAGUUCACACUGUGACGGUAUCUUACCAGAAAGGGACGGCUAACUACGUG
rnacentral:rRNA from 1 species